UACGGGGGGGGCAAGCGUUGUUCGGAAUUACUGGGCGUAAAGGGCUCGUAGGCGGCCAACUAAGUCAUACGUGAAAUCCCUCGGCUUAACCGGGGAACUGCGUCUGAUACUGGAUGGCUUGAGUUCGGGAGAGGGAUGCGGAAUUCCAGGUGUAGCGGUGAAAUGCGUAGAUAUCUGGAGGAACACCGGUGGCGAAGGCGGCAUCCUGGACCGAUACUGACGCUGAGGAGCGAAAGCCAGGGGAGCAAACGGU
rnacentral:rRNA from 1 species